rnacentral:rRNA from 1 species
UACGUAGGGGGCAAGCGUUAUCCGGAUUUACUGGGUGUAAAGGGAGCGUAGACGGCAUGGCAAGCCAGAUGUGAAAUACCGGGGCUCAACCCCGGGACUGCAUUUGGAACUGUUAAGCUGGAGUGUCGGAGAGGCAGGCGGAAUUCCUAGUGUAGCGGUGAAAUGCGUAGAUAUUAGGAGGAACACCAGUGGCGAAGGCGGCCUGCUGGACGAUGACUGACGUUGAGGCUCGAAAGCGUGGGGAGCAA